AAAUUUCAUACAAGCCACAUACAAAUUCAAGGGUUACACUUUUCCAGCUUCAAGUGGUAACCCGAAACAAAAGCUACAUUGUUUAAUUCAAACUACAUGCUUAAAGUACAAGUAGAUCUCAAGUCUUCCUCAGUUGUCAGAACCUGUAAAAGAAAACCACAACGUGGGAUGAGCUACACAGCCCAGUGAGGUUCCAAGACGCUCUAACAGUUCAAAUAGGUCAAGUAAGUUGUGCAUAUCAUAUGCAUGAUUCGAGAUUACACAAUGGCAUGUUACCAUGAGGUGAUAAUCAUUACACGGAUAAUUGCUACUUUGAAAACACAUGUAGAACUAGUACUUUUGGAAUGAAUGGCCAUAUAAACAUAUUUUCAUAAAUUUUCAGUCAAACAAAUAGUGGCUCGUCCGACUAGAAGAACAUUACAAGGAUUGCUUCAUCUCAGAGGUUAAUGCUCAUGAGGAGUCUUACCCGAGAAUGCCAACUAGGAGAGCAAUAACAUUAUAAUAGCAAAGCAACCACAAAAGGAUACGGUGUUCCAGU
rnacentral:lncRNA from 1 species